GCCAGCACUUCCACCCGGAAGCUCUACUAGACACCCCUCCCAGUCCAGAUUAGAUGCUCCUACUUACUCCUCCUCUGUGCUUGCAGACCUGCCCACCUGCCUGCCUCGUCGACUGGACUCUGGCCAAGGGCAGGGACUGUGUGGCACUGCUCACUGCUGUAUCCACAAGGCCCUAAGGCAUAAUGCCUGGAGCCUCAAUCCAUGAUCGGUAGGGAACGAAUGAAUGGCUAAGCCUGUUGGGGCAGGUGUGAUAGUUUGAGUGAAAGUGACAGGGUCUGCGGUGGCAGCGAGGAGAGAAGAGACACGAUAGAAUUGACGGGACCCAGGAAUCAUGAGAGGAGAACACAGGGAGAGAAGAAGGAGUUGGUGAUGACUCAGAGGUGUUUUUUUUUUCACCUGGAUGGAGUCUGGAUCUGUCACGCAGGCUGGAGUGCAGUCGCGCGAUCUCAGCUCACUGCAACCUAUGCCUCCCAGGUCAAGCGAUUCUCCUGCCUCGGCCUCCCAAGGAACUGGAACCACAGGCGCGCGCCACUGCGCCCAAGGAUUUUCACUUUUAACUGUACAGUGAAGCACAGACUUCUGAGCCAGACUGCUUGGUCUGAACUCUGGUGUCACCACUUAGUAAGUUCUGGUUUGAAUGUACUCACUGAGUGGUCUUCAUAAAUUACCUCUCUGCACUUGAGUCUCCUGUCUGUAAAAUGGGGAUAAUAAUCAUUACAACGAAGCCUCAUAGGAUUCUGGUGGAGACCAAAUGCAUUAAUACAUAUGCAAAGCAUUUGGAACAGCUGGCAUAUAUAAGUGCCAUAUAUCUAUUAUUAAAAAUUUUUAAAUUAUAGAAUGGAUUAAUUUUUGGAUUUUAUAAGCAGAUUCCGCCCCCCGCCCCGCCUUAAAACUGUUAUGAAAAAGCAAGAAAGGCCAGGUGCAGUGGCUCACGCCUGUAAUCCCAGCACUUUGGGAGGCCAAGGUGGGCGGAUCACGAGGUCAGGAGUUCAAGACCAGCCUGGCCAACAUGGUGAAACCCUGUCUCUAGUAAAAACACAAAAAUUAGCUGGGCGUGCGGGCACCUGUAAUCCCAGCUACUUGGGAGGCUGAAGCAGGAGAAUUGCUGCCACUGCGGAGGUUGCAGUGAGCCGUGAUUGCGCCACUGCACUCCAGCCUGGGAGACAGAGCAAGACUCUGUCUUGGGAUAAAAAAAAAAAAAAAAAAAGAAAAAAGAAAAAGAAAAAGAAAAAGGAAAGGGGAAAAUUUUUUUUUAGACGAAGUUUCGCUCUGUUGCUCAGGCUGGAGUGCAGUGGCGCCCUCUUGGCUCACUGCAAGCUCCGCCUCCCGGGUUCACACCAUUCUCCUGCCUCAGCCUCCUGAGUAGCUGGGACUACAGGCGCCUGCGCCUACGCCCGGCUAAUUUUUUGUGUUUUUAGUAGUGACGGGGUUUCACCAUGUUAGCCAGGAUGGUCUCGAUCUCCUGACCUCAGGUGAUCUGCCCGCCUCGGCCUCCCAAAGUGCUGGGAUUACAGGCGUGAGCCACCGCACCAGGCAGGAAAAAAAUUUAACAAAGAAAAAAAGGCUGGGCGUGGUGGCUCGCACCUGUAAUCCCAGCACUUUGGGAGGCAAAGGCUGGAGAAUUGCUUGAGGUCAGGGGUUUGAGACCAGCCUGGGGAACAUGGCAAGACACCAUCUCUAAAAAGCAGAAAUAGAAGAAAAAUACAAAAAGGGGGAAAAAAAUAAAGGAAGGGCCUAAAGCCUAGGCCAGCCUACUUCUGCCACUUUCCACGUGAGCUUUGGACCAGUCCCUUACUCUGUGUCUGGGAACCUGUCUUCUCAUCUGUAAACCAAGUGAGCAUCUUUCUCUACCUCAAAGAUUGUUCUGAAGAAUAAACGCCUCAGGGAAGUGUUUAAUAAAUGAUGGCGAAACCCACGUA
rnacentral:lncRNA from 1 species